UACGGAGGAUCCAAGCGUUAUCCGGAAUCAUUGGGUUUACAGGGUCCGUAGGCGGUUUAAUAAGUCAGUGGUGAAAGCCCAUCGCUCAACGGUGGAACGGCCAUUGAUACUGUUAAACUUGAAUUAUUAGGAAGUAACUAGAAUAUGUAGUGUAGCGGUGAAAUGCUUAGAGAUUACAUGGAAUACCAAUUGCGAAGGCAGGUUACUACUAAUGGAUUGACGCUGAUGGACGAAAGCGUGGGUAGCGAACAGG
rnacentral:rRNA from 1 species